AUUAAAUACAUGGUGUUCUGCGUCGGUGGGCGUAGACGGGGUCAGCGUGUGGGUGGAUCCAUGAUGUUUUGUGUUGAAAAACCCAUCUGCCUUGGCUAGACACCAAUCUUCAGCUCAGCAUCUGUGUCAGGGUUAUCAGGAUGGCGAAUCCGCCGCCGCUGCCGCCGCGCAUCCGUGACAACAGACAGUACCUGGAAGACUUGGAGCUGGCCUGCUCACUCAGCAUGGAGACCUUCCAGCACGAGACGAUGCGGCGGCGCGCUGGCGUCGAGAGGGAGGGUGCGCCAGCCACCGGGACGGAGGUGAAGCCACGGCCGCGGCCGGGCAGUUCUGCCUCGCUGCCGCGCUCACCAGACCCGCGCUCGGCACUGGAGCCGCCGCCGUCACUGCCGCCGCGCCGCCCGGUCGGCCGCUCGGCGUCGGCGGCGGCCGCAC